rnacentral:rRNA from 1 species
AGAGUUUGAUCCUGGCUCAGAUUGAACGCUGGCGGCAUGCCUUACACAUGCAAGUCGAACGGCAGCACGGGAGCUUGCUCCUGGUGGCGAGUGGCGAACGGGUGAGUAAUACAUCGGAACGUACCCAGGAGUGGGGGAUAACGUAGCGAAAGUUACGCUAAUACCGCAUAUUCUGUGAGCAGGAAAGCGGGGGAUCGCAAGACCUCGCGCUCUUGGAGCGGCCGAUGUCGGAUUAGCUAGUUGGUGAGGUAAAAGCUCACCAAGGCGACGAUCCGUAGCAGGUCUGAGAGGAUGAUCUGCCACACUGGGACUGAGACACGGCCCAGACUCCUACGGGAGGCAGCAGUGGGGAAUUUUGGACAAUGGGGGCAACCCUGAUCCAGCCAUGCCGCGUGAGUGAAGAAGGCCUUCGGG